GUCCUUGUCGAUUAGUGGUCAAAUCAUCUCGUUGUGGAUCCGCUCAGCGGGUGUAGCUCCGAGAAGCCGGAAGUUCGAAUCCUCCCUGGGACA